GCGGGAGGUGCCCGUACCGCAAACCGACACAGGUAGGCGAGAAGAGAAUUCUAAGGUGAGCGAGUGAACUCUCGUUAAGGAACUCGGCAAAAUGACCCCGUAACUUCGGGAGAAGGGGUGCUCUGGUAGGGUGUAUAGCCCGAGAGAGCCGCAGUGAAUAGGCCCAGGCGACUGUUUAGCAAAAACACAGGUCUCUGCAAAACCGUAAGGUGACGUAUAGGGGCUGACGCCUGCCCGGUGCUGGAAGGUUAAGGGGAGUGCUUAGCGCAAGCGAAGGUGCGAACUGAAGCCCCAGUAAACGGCGGCCGUAACAAUAACGGUCCUAGGGUAGCGAAAUUCCUUGUCGGGUAAGUUCCGACCCGCACGAAAGGCGUAACGAUUUGGGCACUGUCUCAACAACAGACUCGGUGAAAUUGUAGUUCCGGUGAAGAUGCCGGAUACCUGCGACAGGACGGAAAGACC
rnacentral:rRNA from 1 species